UUUUAGCCCUGAUUGAAGCGGCAUCCUCGUAGCGUAGCGGAGAGAUACAGCGGAAAGCAGGAAAUAGC
rnacentral:sRNA from 1 species